rnacentral:rRNA from 1 species
UACGAAGGGGGGCUAGCGUUGUUCGGAAUUACUGGGCGUAAAGCGCACGUAGGCGGAUAUUUAAGUCAGGGGGUGGAAUCCCAGAGCUCAACUCUGGAACUGCCUUUGAUACUGGGUAUCUUGAGUAUGGAAGAGGUGAGUGGAAUUCCGAGUGUAGAGGUGAAAUUCGUAGAUAUUCGGAGGAACACCAGUGGCGAAGGCGGCUCACUGGUCCAUUACUGACGCUGAGGCGCGAAAGCGUGGGGGAGCAAAACAGG